AUUAUAAUGACUUGUAUCAUUGCAGUAACGGUACUCUGGUCUCUGGUCUUUUACUGCUUUGCUGCCAGCGAGCUUUCACACUGCGCCUCCAACGGCUAUUUUUCCAAUGGUAUCUUCCCGACGGAUCUUCUCCAUCUCCGACUAUAAUUUCCGAUUCAUUGUUUUGUUAAAAUUCUGGAUCAUCAUUUACAAUCUCACUCUCAACAACCUCACCCAGUUUAUCAGGACUCCCUGCAGUGCCAGUGGUGAUGGUGGUCUAUUGCUACCUGGAAUCAGGAAUAAGGAUUCUAACAAAUUCCGUGUUGAAGAAACAUUCAGUUUCAAUUUGACAUGGUAGUUGGAGUACGCUCAUUUCAAAUGUUUCAUCUAAAGCCUCUGUGCUAAAAGGUGUAAUGUUAACUUGAUAGCAAUAAUGUAAAGUGCAUUUUGCACGCUCCUUACUGAUUCUCACAAAAAAAAUGGAUUUCAACUAUAGAUAUGGUUACAGUUACACUCUGACAAUUGUUCCUGUAUUAAUUUGAGCUGCUACUACAAUUCCGGUUUCCUUUUCAUUCCAAAGGAGUUGUGUACAUAAUCAGAACCACCACUUGUUAGUCGAUUUAUGUCUAAGUUUCCUCAUUGCAAACCUUUCUUAACUAAUAAUGCACUUCUACCUGUGGAUUCAAGCCCAUUUGGCCAAAAUCGACAUACAACCAGCUCCAAGAAGCAAUGAUAUGUUUGCUGCUACUUGAAGCCUUAUGUUGCUUUGCAUUUUUGGGUCCAUAAAAUCUGCUGCUAGUAGGUCCACAAGUGCCAUGUAAAUCAGAAUUCCAGCGGAAGCAGAGUUGAAUAUCCCCUGAACAAUCAGAGCAGUGGGGGUAUUUUCGCUGUAAACGCUACAAAUUCCAAUGCCAAUAGCAAUCCCAAUUGGGGUGGUGAGGGAGAAAAAUACUGCCAUAAGUAUUGUAUGUAGAGAUCUGAAUCUUGCCUGCAUAUUACCAGAACAGAUUAGUCAAGCAAGUAUGAACCAUGCCACUUUAGGAGAACUUCUAUCUAAAUUUUGUUCAUUUCUUCGUAUUGCGUUUCAGGUUUACACAAAAGGUUGGUAAUUUAGUAAUAUCAUGCAAGGAGUAAUUGGUAGAGAGGAAUAGCUGGUAAUACCUGAGAAAUGCAUCCACCAAGCCCCAAUCCCUCGAAAAAUUGGUGGAAGGACAAGGCUGCAAGUAAAGUCUUUAUUGUUUCUGGACUUUGCGAAGCUCCUAAGGUCUGGAUCACCAGCUUCUUGCUCUUCAGAAGGGACGACAGAGCCAUGAGCAUGGCCGUGUGUUCCAUGUGUAUGAAUGUGUACAUGACCACUGUGUUCAUCAUCACCAACCUUCUCUUCAUCCACAAUCAACUGCUUCGACUUCUUAAAGUGUGAUCUUGUGUAAAAACCAGACGCCAAGGAAUCUAUCAUAAGUGUUCCAAUAGAAGACAUCAUUGCCACAAAUCCUGCAAAAGGAAAUUUCCCCCAUGGAUUCUCCUUAAGGCACGGUGAACUCAAAGUAUCAAAUGCAUCUGGUAGUAUGUGGACAAAUCCUGUUGCAAGAAUCACACCAGCUGCAAAGGCUUUGAUCAUGAAGAAUAUGUCAUUCUCCGGGUUAAGUGCUUCUAUUUUCCUCCCUAGCUGUGGGAGGCUCACACCGAUCCCACCAGCAACAAGUAUCGACGCGAUGGCUACUAGUUUAAACUUCAAGGACUCACUUCCUUUACUCUCUUUCGAAGCUUCAUUGUCACAGGUGGACAUCCCAAAGGCUAGAGGUGGGAGCAGAAUAAAGACCAGGCAUAAUAUUAUGGUAUAGUUAUGUGGACAAACUUGAUAUCUAAACAUUUCGAGUUAUCGAGGGGUAGAAAGCAGGAAAGAGCAAGAGGCUUAUGGAUGAUUUGGGUAGGAAGAACUUGGCUUAUUUUGUAGGUUAUAUAAAUAAAGAGCUGGGAAUCAAUGAAUCAGCAGUGUUGGUGAUGACUAUUUGGAAUAUUUGGGUGGCCAAUUGGCAAGGAAUACUCUCAAUGGUCAAGAAUGCAGAAUACAAGUGAAUGGGGGAGAAAAUGCAUUAAUAUACUGUGUGUGUUAAACCUAUAAGUUUGUUUGAGCAGGUUUGGUAAAUCCUAGUCCUAAUAAGGCUAUUAUUACUACAAUAAUACUCUAGUUUUGGUGCAUUUUUGAGGUGAUAGCUUUGUUAGCUUGCUGUAUUAAUUUUUUGGUCUUUUAUUUUUCCAGUGCAUUGUUUUUUGUA